GAAGGAUCUAAAAAUGGCUCAAAUAAAUCAAUUGGCUCUGUCAGUAAACCAGGAGACCAAUCUAAAUCCCAAAAAUCUAAAGGAAAUACCAAGAAUGAAGGAGUAUUUUCUGGUAUUAAAGAUUUAACUGAUAAACUGUUUGGCCUUUUGGGUAAGAAAGAAUCCAAGAGCAAAGAUCAGUCUGUGAAAGACAAAUCCAAGAAGGGUUCUAAAGAUAAAUCCAAACCUGGAUCUAAGUCAGGUCCACAAGGUAGUGUAUAUGUAUUCC
rnacentral:sRNA from 1 species